GCCUUUACUAGUCACCCUCAUGACUCUCUGCCCUCACUGCCCUGCCUCAUGACUCCUCGAUUGCUGAUGCCACCGUCCUGACAAGCCUUCGCCCUCCUUUUAUGUGGGGCUAGAUCGGCAACGCAGAUGCCACCGACUGUUGUGGGAGCUUUAAUUUUACUUUGUGAUUUUUACUUGUGCCGCACCACCUCUGCCCGACGUUGCCUUGCUGCCACUGCUAGUGGUUGCUGGGUCGAAUAGGGGGGGCACUGUUGGCUAUUGUGGAUCAUCGCCUAAGACCGAGACCUAGGACAUGACUAGAGCGUCAAUCUACAACCAUCUCAAGCCCAUAGACCUUGAGCAGUAAUCCCUAUUGUUGCUGCCUCUGUAGGCCGUUGGGAGCCACUGCCAAAGAAGAAGAAACCAAGGGGUUCGGGCUCGAGAUAGAGCCUCAGAUUGGAAGACUACUAGGAAUUGUUCUACAUUUGAGCAAGAAGAUGAAGUGUCGUGUCGCUCAGAGGUCCUGGUUGCUAGUCCCACAUCACACUCGAGAUCAUGUUUUCCACGUUAUAUUUUGUUGUAUUGUAUUUGUACUUGGUUUUAUUAAUGAAUUUUAGUCUUAU